AGUGAAUCUCCUUCGGGAGUGAAGCUAGCGGCGGACGGGUCAGUAACACGUGGGCAACCUGCCUCAUAGAGGGGAAUAGCCUUUCGAAAGGAAGAUUAAUACCGCAUAAGAUUGUAGCUUCGCAUGAAGUAGCAAUUAAAGGAGCAAUCCGCUAUGAGAUGGGCCCGCGGCGCAUUAGCUAGUUGGUGAGGUAACGGCUCACCAAGGCGACGAUGCGUAGCCGACCUGAGAGGGUGGUCGGCCACAUUGGGACUGAGACACGGCCCAGACUCCUACGGGAGGCAGCAGUGGGGAAUAUUGCACAAUGGGGGAAACCCUGAUGCAGCAACGCCGCGUGAGUGAUGACGGCCUUCGGGUUGUAAAGCUCUGUCUUCAGGGACGAUAAUGACGGUACCUGAGGAGGAAGCCACGGCUAACUACGUGCCGGCAGCCGCGGUAAUACGUAGGUGGCGAGCGUUGUCCGGAUUUACUGGGCGUAAAGGGAGCGUAGGCGGACUUUUAAGUGAGAUGUGAAAUACCCGGGCUCAACUUGGGUGCUGCAUUUCAAACUGGAAGUCUAGAGUGCGGGAGAGGAGAAUGGAAUUCCUAGUGUAGCGGUGAAAUGCGUAGAGAUUAGGAAGAACACCAGUGGCGAAGGCGAUUCUCUGGACUGUAACUGACGCUGAGGCUCGAAAGCGUGGGGAGUAAACAGGAUUAGAUACCCAGGUAGUCCACGCCGUAAACGAUGAAUACUAGGUGUAGGGGUUGUCAUGACCUCUGUGCCG
rnacentral:rRNA from 1 species